rnacentral:rRNA from 1 species
GCAGUGGGAGCACGCUUAGGCGUGUGACUGCGUACCUUUUGUAUAAUGGGUCAGCGACUUAUAUUCUGUAGCAAGGUUAACCGAAUAGGGGAGCCGAAGGGAAACCGAGUCUUAACUGGGCGUUAAGUUGCAGGGUAUAGACCCGAAACCCGGUGAUCUAGCCAUGGGCAGGUUGAAGGUUGGGUAACACUAACUGGAGGACCGAACCGACUAAUGUUGAAAAAUUAGCGGAUGACUUGUGGCUGGGGGUGAAAGGCCAAUCAAACCGGGAGAUAGCUGGUUCUCCCCGAAAGCUAUUUAGGUAGCGCCUCGUGAAUUCAUCUCCGGGGGUAGAGCACUGUUUCGGCAAGGGGGUCAUCCCGACUUACCAACCCGAUGCAAACUGCGAAUACCGGAGAAUGUUAUCACGGGAGACACACGGCGGGUGCUAACGUCCGUCGUGAAGAGGGAAACAACCCAGACCGCCAGCUAAGGUCCCAAAGUCAUGGUUAAGUGGGAAACGAUGUGGGAAGGCCCAGACAGCCAGGAUGUUGGCUUAGAAGCAGCCAUCAUUUAAAGAAAGCGUAAUAGCUCACUGGUCGAGUCGGCCUGCGCGGAAGAUGUAACGGGGCUAAACCAUGCACCGAAGCUGCGGCAGCGACGCUUAUGCGUUGUUGGGUAGGGGAGCGUUCUGUAAGCCUGUGAAGGUGUACUGUGAGGUAUGCUGGAGGUAUCAGAAGUGCGAAUGCUGACAUAAGUAACGAUAAAGCGGGUGAAAAGCCCGCUCGCCGGAAGACCAAGGGUUCCUGUCCAACGUUAAUCGGGGCAGGGUGAGUCGACCCCUAAGGCGAGGCCGAAAGGCGUAGUCGAUGGGAAACAGGUUAAUAUUCCUGUACUUGGUGUUACUGCGAAGGGGGGACGGAGAAGGCUAUGUUGGCCGGGCGACGGUUGUCCCGGUUUAAGCGUGUAGGCUGGUUUUCCAGGCAAAUCCGGAAAAUCAAGGCUGAGGCGUGAUGACGAGGCACUACGGUGCUGAAGCAACAAAUGCCCUGCUUCCAGGAAAAGCCUCUAAGCAUCAGGUAACAUCAAAUCGUACCCCAAACCGACACAGGUGGUCAGGUAGAGAAUACCAAGGCGCUUGAGAGAACUCGGGUGAAGGAACUAGGCAAAAUGGUGCCGUAACUUCGGGAGAAGGCACGCUGAUAUGUAGGUGAAGUCCCUCGCGGAUGGAGCUGAAAUCAGUCGAAGAUACCAGCUGGCUGCAACUGUUUAUUAAAAACACAGCACUGUGCAAACACGAAAGUGGACGUAUACGGUGUGACGCCUGCCCGGUGC